GAGAGGUUGUUUUCGAUAGACCCCCGGCUCGAGAUCAAACACCGUAGGAAAAAACAUAAUAUAAGAACAAGUAACAAAAAGUAGUAACAAAACAAUAGACAGUAGCAGAAACAAGAUUAUCAGUAAAUAAUACCACCAACAAUCUACCGAAACCGUAAACAACAUCCAAUAACUCCAAGGACAAGAUACUAUACCCGUGAAACGCUAUAACUUCUAGCCCCUAUCCUAUCAGUCUUCCACCUUUGUACACGUCCUCCACACCUUCCUAUCUAGAAUCAUGUCCUCGGUAGGCUGUAACAGCUCCAUGUCAUGUUUAAGCACCUUUAUCUUGCCUGAAUCCAUUAAUAGCCAACCUCUCGCCCCUCCGCACCGGGGCAUUUGAGUCCCUCUCAUAUGACCGAAAGAGAAAGUAAGUGCAAUAUGAAUGGAAAUUGAUCUUUGUACCAGAUGCAUAGAGGCUAUCUAAUUUUUUG
rnacentral:lncRNA from 1 species